UAUGUUUCUCCAAUUUUCCAUUUUUCCGAGAAAAAUCACCCUCUCUCUCUCUCCCACAAGCUUUCCCAUCUCCCUGAAAUCGCAAUCGAUCUCUCUCAAACAGUUUUCUCUCGCUUUCCCUCCUUUUCUCGGCCUCCAAUCAACCAUUUCAAUCUUCUUCCACCCUCUUGUUGCCAGACACACCAAUCCCACUUUCACUUCCUGAAGAUCUGGGACUCUCUUCUGUCCUCUGUAGCUCUAAAUCUGAUCAACAAAUUUGUGGGUUGCAUUCCUUGUUUAAUCUUGAUUUGUUGUUCUUCAGGAUGCUUUGACAUAUAUUGCCUUUCCAGGGUCGGAAUUGGCAUCUAGGGUUAAGUGAUUGGUCUUGCUGCUUGAUAUCUGUGCAGUUCAUGCGAGAGUCACGCUCUGGUUUCGAUGAAUAUGGAAAUCUCUUGCGAUGUGGCGUCCUUGGACGCUGAAUUGUUGCAGCUGGCGGAGGUCUCUCCUUUGGCGAUUAAAUCCAAUCCUGAUUUUGUCGAGAAGCUGUUUGAGCAGUGGCUUUCGCUUCCUGCCACUAAUCGCCUGGUCACGUCAUUGUUAAACGAUGCAAAGGCUGGUGUACCCUUGAAUGUGCCUGGAAAUUCUUCUAGUCCUCAUGCUUCUGCUACCAAUUCACUGCCUUCUAUAUUUCCUGCUGGAAGUGCUCCUCCUUUAUCACCGAGAAGUAUAUCUGGUUCCCCUCGGGUGAUGAGACCGAGGGUUGGUCCUUCUAUUUUAGGCUCCCCACUGAAAGUGAUUAGUGAGCCAAUUAAAGAACCAAUUCCGCAGUUUUACUUCCAAAAUGGACGUCCACCACCAGUUGACCUGAAAGAGCAAUGCAUGUUCAGGACCAAUCAGGCUUUCUAUGGACACUUGGAUGGGUUACAGAUCCAUGAAUUUAGGGCAGUUACAAAAGAAGUAUGCAAGUUGCCAUCAUUCUUUUCCACUUCUCUUUUCAGAAAGAUAGAUGUUAAUAGCACUGGCAUUGUGACAAGGGAUGCUUUUAUUGAGUAUUGGAUCAAUGGAAACAUGUUGACACUGGAUAUAGCAACCCAAAUUUUUAGGAUUUUAAAGCAGCCGGAUCUCAAGUAUCUGACUCAGGAUGACUUCAAACCUGUGCUUCGAGAACUCUUAGCAACGCACCCAGGGCUAGAAUUCCUUCAGAGCACUCCAGAAUUUCAGGAAAGAUAUGCUGAAACAGUAACAUAUAGGAUAUAUUUCUACAUAAAUAGAGCUGGAAAUGGUCAGCUUUCGCUUAGGGAGCUCAAACGUGGUAAUUUGAUUGAUGCAAUGCAACAUGCUGAUGAAGAAGAGGACAUCAACAAAGUUUUGAGGUACUUUUCUUAUGAGCAUUUUUAUGUAAUAUACUGCAAAUUUUGGGAGCUGGACACGGACCACGACUUCUUGAUUGACAAGGAGAACCUUAUCAAAUAUGGAAAUCAUGCGCUUACCUACCGUAUUGUUGAUAGAAUAUUCUCUCAGGUUCCAAGAAAGUUUACUAGUAAAGUUGAAGGUAGGAUGGGAUACGAAGAUUUUGUUUAUUUUAUAUUGUCUGAGGAAGAUAAAUCAUCUGAGCCUAGCCUUGAGUAUUGGUUCAAGUGCAUAGAUUUGGAUGGUAAUGGAAUUUUAACACGGAAUGAAUUGCAAUUCUUUUAUGAGGAGCAAUUACAUCGUAUGGAAUGCAUGGCUCAAGAACCUGUGCUUUUUGAGGAUAUUUUGUGCCAGAUAAUUGAUAUGAUUGGACCUGAGAAUGAAAGUUAUAUCACUCUACGGGAUCUGAAAGGCUGCAAGCUUUCUGGAAGUGUUUUUAAUAUUCUUUUUAAUCUGAAUAAGUUUAUGGCCUUUGAAACACGUGAUCCAUUUCUUAUCCGCCAGGAGCGCGAGAAUCCUACUUUGACAGAAUGGGAUCGUUUUGCGCAUAGAGAAUAUAUUAGGCUUUCAAUGGAAGAAGAUGUGGAAGAUGCCUCUAAUGGAAGUGCAGAAGUUUGGGAUGAGUCUCUUGAAGCUCCAUUCUGAGUGAGUUGGGUCGAACUUUUUGGACAGAGACGAAACAAGGGAUGCUUGGUUCUGUUUAUGCACCUAAUUUUUAUGAUGCUUCCUUCGAUCAAUAGCAAAAUGGCACGCCAUUGGACAGACAUGAUCGGAGCUUGAAAAGUAACGUUUUAAAAUUGGCCAUCAGAUGAAGAAAUGUGUACGGACGGAGCAGUUUCUUAAGAACGAGAAUGCAGAGUGGUGCUUUCUCGAACACGAAUCGCAGGUCUCCGAUCGCUGCUUUGACCAAAUGCUCUACUAUUUGCGUGGAACAUCCCUGUAGAUUGUACUGAUACAACAACAUUCUGUAAGUGUUGUCUGCUUGGCACAGGUCAAUAAUUCAAGGCCAUUUAUUAUUUAGUUCAUAAUAUGCUGCCUUCCCCUCUUUCCCCACCUUCAAUUUAAGCCUAUUUAUAUAGAGAUAGAUAUGAUCAUCAUCAUCAUCAUCAUCUAAGCCCCUUUUUUUGGUUUGUAAUUUUAUUCUGUUUCUCAAAAUGAAAAAGAAAAAAUAUAUAUCCUUUCCCCUAAUUGUGACUUGGGUGCGGUUCUGUGAUGCUUUUCGUUGUAUGACUUUUCUUUUUGAGUGAAUGGGCAGCUCAGUCAGUCAGUCAGUGAGUCUCUAUAUCCUUUUUCUGUGUAAGAGCUGGGAAUUUUUGUUAUUUAUGAAUAUUCAUUUCAACUUUUCUCCCUUUUACAAGUUCAUGUAAUAAAACAUUACUCUCAUGACA